CACAGGAGAAACUUUUGACUGCAUAUUCAAACUGGUAUUAUUUCUCAGGAAUUUUUAAUGGCUAAUAUUGAUGAAUAAGGAUAAUUUGACUUAAGAUGAGACAUUUUUGGGCAGGAUUUGGAGGGAAACAUUCAUUAAAAUGCAUAGGAAUUACUCGGGUUUUUAUAAUCAAGCCUUGAGGAAAAUUUGGCCUUGGAAGCAGGAGGUACUCAGGGGCUAUGCCCUGGGAAGGUAUCCUGGAAAGGGCACCUCAGCUUAUGCACUAUACAGGGAGAUUAUUAGCAGAGAGGCAAAGUCUGUUCACCAUGACAUCAGCUGACCCUUCUUGAACAUUCUAUUGUGUCCUAGAGAGUUCUUGGCAUCCUCUGUGAUGUCACCAGUGUUGUAGUAACCACCAGUGCCCUACUUUUUCUCAGUCCCUGCUUGCAGAUACACAGGAAGACAUGUAUUCCCGUCUUCGCAAGCAUUUUGGGAGAGUGAACGUUGAUUUUGGACAGACUGGAGUGAGGGAAUCUCGCCUUUCAUCAAAAACAAAUGAUGGACAAAGAAAGGUGGCCUGGGGAAUGCGGAAGGAUGGGAGACUGACAUCAUCCCCUGGCCCUGUGGUAAUCAACAAGGAGGACAACACGGAGAACACAGAAGAGCAGAGACUGAUUAGACAGCUGCAGUCAGCUACUGAGGAGAGAAAUGAGCUAAGAGAUCUCCUGACUUACGUGACAGAGAGAUACAGGAACAACAGGUAUGCAUUGCUCCAAACUGCCUUGUGUCAUUCAUGGACCUGCAAUGUCACCUCCAUCGUAUUCUAUUAAGGUGUUGGGUCUAGAAAGCUGUGCCUCCCAAAAUACUCGUCCUAAACCUCAUUUCUGAUAUAGAGGAGAAUCUGAACCUGACCCUUGGUCAGGAGUGAGAUGGGAAAUGGUCUCAUCUGCUGCCUCCAGCUGAAAAUCUGAACUUGUGGCCUUAGUGAGGAUUCAGGGAUAACGUCACUGGAGCAUGAGUUCCCAGUGUGCAUUUGGAAAGCCCUUGACAGGUGGUAGCUUUGCAAGGGUCUAGGUGCCGUGAGUUUGGGUGUGUGCUAGGAAGGUGACUGAAUGCUGGAAUCUUGUGGCAUUAACCUGAGCUGACAGAUCCCAAAUUCUUCAUCUCAAUGUUUGACUAGAUGGCCAGAGACACAGGUCUGCUCCUUCUUUAUUGUGUACCUCUGAGCCAAAAACGUAGCAUGCAUUUCUUCUUAUUCUUAUUGUGUUCUCUGUUUGGCUCUCAUUCUCAUUCUAUUACGGUUUACUUUUCUUUCCUUGUGGGCGUGUCCCAAUUUCUGUGUCUGUGAAUGCUGGAAUCUUGUGGCAUUAACCUGAGCUGACAGAUCCCAAAUUCUUCAUCUCAAUGUUUGACUAGAUGGCCAGAGACACAGGUCUGCUCCUUCUUUAUUGUGUACCUCUGAGCCAAAAACGUAGCAUGCAUUUCUUCUUAUUCUUAUUGUGUUCUCUGUUUGGCUCUCAUUCUCAUUCUAUUACGGUUUACUUUUCUUUCCUUGUGGGCGUGUCCCAAUUUCUGUGUCUGUGUGUGUACACAUCUACACGCACAUGCGCAAUUUUAUAUGUUUAUAUUUCUCUCCAUACUUGGAAUAUAGGGGUCUAUGUUUUGGCCUGAGUAUUUACCGGUAUAACACUUUCAUGGUGACGUGAGUGCUUUGUUUUAGGAACCCCACUUAUAACAGCAUAGUUCUUUGCCUAUGUGGUCACAAUUGUCUGUACAUUUGCAUCUGUUGGGUAGAUUAUAACUUUGUGGCGAUUUCUGGUCUCUACUUCAUAAUUUUAUGUAAUGUCUGUCUCUACAGUGUUAGUUAUUCAGGAUGUAGAAUUCCUGUUGUCAAAACAAGAAAAAUGAAAUCACAGUUUUCUAGGCAUGGGAGGCAGGAGUUCUAGGGACUAGGCUCUUAAUAGCAUAACUAGCUUUUCUGCAGACCCAGCCCGUCUGAUUGAACAAAGGGAGCCAGGGAACUCUUUAUGUGGAUGCCUAGAUUCUGUGGUUCUAGGCCUAGAAUAACAAGUUUCUGAAGCUGAAGAAGAUCCCAAUAUGUAGAAUUCAGAAAUUGUCCUUCAAGGGCUGGGGUAGUAUAGGACACAGCCUGAGUUCAUAUAUUCCUAAACACCUAUAUUCAUUGGGUUUUAUCUUCUUGGGACCAGCCCUUAUCUCAGGUCAAAUCCAUUUCAUGAAAAAUUGAAGAUAAAGGAGAAGAAGGUCAUGUCAUUACAGCAUAACUUACAGAAAAAGAACAUCGAACAUCAUGAGAAAUUUCAGGAGCUCAAGAAGGAAAUUAACUUAUAUUGAUGAAUACUGGUCAGAAAGGCCAUUAAUUGUGGCAUGGCCACAUCUGCUUUCUUUGUUCUGGAUUGGAGAGUCUGCAGCUCUGGUUUCAUCACUUGUGCUCUUCAAAUAUCACUGUGCCCUGGGUCUUUUGGACUCAGCUUUUAGGUCCACAGGAGACUGGUACUCAUACCCAGAGUGUCUAGGCAUCUUCAGAAGGCUCUAGGUAGACCAGUACUGAUUCAGCUCACCAAAUGGUUAAUAGGCUGAACUGGGCCUCUACGGUCAUACCAGGUUUAACAAAUCUCAGUGUGUGGACCAACUGGAUGACAUGACCUUCCCUUAAUUCUACUGACCUCCCUUGAGGGUAUAUGCCCACUAUUUAUUAAUGUUGCCCCCAUGCAUUUUGCUUCCAUGGAUAGAUGUAGAUCCCCUGUUGUUUUGGAGAGACAUAGAUAUUUAUUGGUACUUGGGUCACAGAAACAAUUUAUUCUUCUCUGAAUUGGCUGCUUGAUGUUUGUGCAGCAGCCUUAUGUGUAUCAAGAUGUAUUCUAUGAAGUUUUCUUUGGUAUCUGGGUUCAGGGCAAGUUUGUGGGACUUGGGAGUAAGAAUGGCAGGAAGAGUCUGCAGGAUCUAACUAUGCAGAGUGUGUUUCCAGUAACCUGCCCAGCCGGAUCCAUAUGGACAAGAUAUGUAUGCAGAAGUUGUUCACAUUUAAGAAGGAGAGUAAGGAGGAACAUCUGGAUUGUGCACCUCUGGUACAGAAAUAUUUGGUUGACUUGCACAAGAAAGAUAAGGAUGAACAGGAGAAGAAGAGAAACCUCCAGACCCAGCCACAUCUGGUAGGGACAAGCAGCUGUGUCAGCUUAACAACAUCUGAUUCCAUUUGCCAAUUUGAUACAUCGUUGCUUCCCCUACCACCUUACUAAUUUACACUCCCAACAAGCCAACCUCCUCAUGCAUUGGAAAUGUUCAUUCCUCUGUCUGUGCAUGAGUAUUCUGGGAAGACAACUACUUUUCAGAAACUGAAUUAUUAACAAGUAUACUUUGCUGCUCUUUUUGAAGCUGCAGUCUAGAAAUGGUGACAGA
rnacentral:lncRNA from 1 species